rnacentral:pre_miRNA from 1 species
UCUAGAACUCAAGAUAUGAGCUGAAUAUCGAAUAGUGUCUGAGCUGCAGGACAUAUUCCGACUUCUUCGUUGUUCUGAAUUCUCCGUUGUUGCUAAUAUUUGAACUUGAAAACGGCAUAAUUGAGUCUUGGACUCCCAUGAAAGUUUUGGGUCUAUGUGUUAGCUUUCCAUC